UGGGGAAUUUUGGACAAUGGGCGAAAGCCUGAUCCAGCAAUGCCGCGUGUGUGAAGAAGGCCUUCGGGUUGUAAAGCACUUUUGUCCGGAAAGAGAUGGCUCUGGUUAAUACCUGGGGUCGAUGACGGUACCGGAAGAAUAAGGACCGGCUAACUACGUGCCAGCA
rnacentral:rRNA from 1 species